GACGAACGCUGGCGGCGUGCUUAACACAUGCAAGUCGAACGAAGUGGCGAACGGGUGAGUAACGCGUAAUCAACCUGCCCUUCAGAGGGGGACAACAGUUGGAAACGAUGGAUAAUAACGGAUACGGGAGGAGGGGAGUGCGUCUGAUGAGCUAGUUGGAGGGGGAACGGCCGACCAAGGCGUUGAUCAGUAGCCGGACUGAGAGGAGGGACGGCCACAUUGGGACUGAGACCCGGCCCAGACUCCUACGGGUGGCAGCAGUGGGGAAUCUUCCGCAAUGGACGAAAGUCUGACGGAGCAACGCCGCGUGAGUGAUGACGGCCUUCGGGUUGUAAAGCUCUGUUAAUCGGGACGCGGUACCGGAAUAGAAAGCCACGGCUAACUACGUGCCAGCAGCCGCGGUAAUAC
rnacentral:rRNA from 1 species